rnacentral:rRNA from 1 species
AUUGAACGCUGGCGGCAGGCCUAACACAUGCAAGUCGAACGAGUGGCGGACGGGUGAGUAAUGUCUGGGAAACUGCCCGAUGGAGGGGGAUAACUACUGGAAACGGUAGCUAUUACGGCAUACCACCGGUUGUGCCAAGAUGGGAUUAGUUAGUAGGUGGGGUAAGGGCCCACCUAGGCGACGAUCCCUAGCUGGUCUGAGAGGAUGACCAGCCACACUGGAACUGAGACACGGUCCAGACUCCUACGGGAGGCAGCAGUGGGGAAUAUUGCACAAUGGGCGCAAGCCUGAUGCAGCCAUGCCGCGUGUAUGAAGAAGGCCUUCGGGUUGUAAAGUACUUUCAGCGAGGAGGCGUUACUCGCAGAAGAAGCACCGGCUAACUCCGUGCCAGCAGCCGCGGUAAUUC